rnacentral:rRNA from 1 species
AGGCAAAGCCGCGAGGCAGAGNAAACCCCUAAAAGCCAUCCCAGUUCGGAUUGCAGGCUGCAACCCGCCUGUAUGAAGUUGGAAUCGCUAGUAAUCGCGGAUCAGCAUGCCGCGGUGAAUACGUUCCCGGGCCUUGUACACACCGCCCGUCACACCAUGAGAGUCGGGAACACCCGAAGUCCGUAGCCUAACCGCAAGGAGGGCGCGGCCGAAGGUGGGUUCGAUAAUUGGGGUGAAGUCGUAACAAGGUAAC